CAAUGGCUCAUUAUAUAAGUUAUCGUUUAUUUGAUAGUACCUUACUACAUGGAUAACCGUGGUAAUUCUAGAGCUAAUACAUGCUAAAAAUCCCAACUUCGGAAGGGAUGUAUUUAUUAGAUUAAAAACCAAUGCCCUCCGGGGCUCACUGGUGAUUCAUAAUAACUUCUCGAAUCGCAUGGCCUUGCGCCGGCGAUGGUUCAUUCAAAUUUCUUCCCUAUCAACUUUCGAUGUUUGGGUAUUGGCCAAACAUGGUUGCAACGGGUAACGGAGGGUUAGGGCUCGACCCCGGAGAAGGAGCCUGAGAAACGGCUACUACAUCCAAGGAAGGCAGCAGGCGCGCAAAUUACCCAAUCCCGACUCGGGGAGGUAGUGACAAUAAAUACUGAUACAGGGCUCUUUUGGGUCUUGUAAUUGGAAUGAGUACAAUUUAAAUCCCUUAACGAGGAACAAUUGGAGGGCAAGUCUGGUGCCAGCAGCCGCGGUAAUUCCAGCUCCAAUAGCGUAUAUUAAAGUUGUUGUGGUUAAAAAGCUCGUAGUUGAACCUUGGGCCUGGCUGGCCGGUCCGCCUCACCGCGUGUACUGGUCCGGCCGGGCCUUUCCCUCUGUGGAACCCCAUGCCCUUCACUGGGUGUGGCGGGGAAACAGGACUUUUACUGUGAAAAAAUUAGAGUGCUCCAGGCAGGCCUAUGCUCGAAUACAUUAGCAUGGAAUAAUAGAAUAGGACGUGUGGUUCUAUUUUGUUGGUUUCUAGGACCGCCGUAAUGAUUAAUAGGGACAGUCGGGGGCAUCAGUAUUCAAUUGUCAGAGGUGAAAUUCUUGGAUUUAUUGAAGACUAACUACUGCGAAAGCAUUUGCCAAGGAUGUUUUCAUUAAUCAGGAACGAAAGUUAGGGGAUCGAAGACGAUCAGAUACCGUCGUAGUCUUAACCAUAAACUAUGCCGACUAGGGAUCGGACGGUGUUAUAUUUUGACCCGUUCGGCACCUUACGAGAAAUCAAAGUGCUUGGGCUCCAGGGGGAGUAUGGUCGCAAGGCUGAAACUUAAAGAAAUUUGACGGAAGGGCACCACCAGGGGGGUGAAACCCGGGGGC
rnacentral:rRNA from 1 species